rnacentral:rRNA from 1 species
UUUGAUCCUGGCUCAGGACGAACGCUGGGGGCGCCUAACACAUGCAAGUCGAACGAGAGAUGAGGAGCUUGCUCUUCAAAUCGAGUGGCGAACGGGUGAGUAACGCGUGAGGAACCUGCCUCAAAGAGGGGGACAACAGUUGGAAACGACUGCUAAUACCGCAUAAGCCCACGGCUCGGCAUCGAGCAGAGGGAAAAGGAGCAAUCCGCUUUGAGAUGGCCUCGCGUCCGAUUAGCUAGUUGGUGAGGUAACGGCCCACCAAGGCGACGAUCGGUAGCCGGACUGAGAGGUUGAACGGCCACAUUGGGACUGAGACACGGCCCAGACUCCUACGGGAGGCAGCAGUGGGGAAUAUUGCACAAUGGGGGAAGCCCUGAUGCAGCGACGCCGCGUGGAGGAAGAAGGUCUUCGGAUUGUAAACUCCUGUUGUUGAGGAAGAUAAUGACGGUACUCAGCAAGGAAGUGACGGCUAACUACGUGCCAGCAGCCGCGGUAAAACGUAGGUCACAAGCGUUGUCCGGAAUUACUGGGUGUAAAGGGAGCGCAGGCGGGAGAACAAGUUGGAAGUGAAAUCCAUGGGCUCAACCCAUGAACUGCUUUCAAAACUGUUUUUCUUGAGUAGUGCAGAGGUAGGCGGAAUUCCCGGUGUAGCGGUGGAAUGCGUAGAUAUCGGGAGGAACACCAGUGGCGAAGGCGGCCUACUGGGCACCAACUGACGCUGAGGCUCGAAAGUGUGGGUAGCAAACAGGAUUAGAUACCCUGGUAGUCCACACCGUAAACGAUGAUUACUAGGUGUUGGAGGAUUGACCCCUUCAGUGCCGCAGUUAACACAAUAAGUAAUCCACCUGGGGAGUACGACCGCAAGGUUGAAACUC